AAAUUGAAGAGUUUGAUCAUGGCUCAGAUUGAACGCUGGCGGCAGGCCUAACACAUGCAAGUCGAGCGGUAGCACAGAGAGCUUGCUCUCGGGUGACGAGCGGCGGACGGGUGA
rnacentral:rRNA from 3 species